CCUACGGGUGGCAGCAGUGGGGAAUAUUGCGCAAUGGGCGAAAGCCUGACGCAGCGACGCCGCGUGAGGGAUGACUGUCUUCGGAUCGGUAACCUCUUUCAGCAUGGGAGAACGGUCACUGUCCUAAUCAGCAUUGAAUUGACGGUACCUGCAAAGGAAGCACCGGCUAACUCCGUGCCAGCAGCCGCGGUAAUACGGAGGAUGCGAGCGUUAUCCGGAUUGACUGGGUGUAAGGGGCGUGCAGCAGGAGAGACAAGUCAGCUGUGAAAACCACGGGCUCAACCCGUGAACUGCAUUUGAAACUGUUUCCCUUGAGUGUCGGAGAGGUAAUCGGAAUUCCCGGUGUAGCGGUGAAAUGCGUAGAUAUAAGGAAGAACACCAGUGGCGAAGGCGGAUUACUGGACGAUAACUGACGGUGAGGCGCGAAAGCGUGGGGAGCAAACAGGAUUAGAUACCCCUGUAGUC
rnacentral:rRNA from 1 species